GCACAUUUGUGUCGUGGGCUUGUGAUGGGAAGAUGAGGGAGAAUGGAAUUGUUGCAAGUUAUAAUCACUGAUCUCCUGUGGAUCCUUACAGUUCCCGCCCACAGUUAGGUUUAAAUUAUUUGACCUCAAUUGAAGAAUUUUAAAUAUUUUAAAGACUCCGUUUCCUCCCCUAAAUUCAGACAGAACUCUUAAGAAAUCACCAUUUUGCAAGAGUGUACAUGUGUGCACAUGCACACCAACCAGCUAACCAACAACAGCAAAAAAAAAAAAAAAAAAAAAAAAAAAAAACUAACAAAAAGCAGUUGGCUCUCAGGAAUAUCAAACUGUUCCAUUUACAGAGAGCUAAGGGGCUGCAAGGUGAAAGUCAGAGACUUUUUAUGCACACUUUGAACUUGCCACUACAUUCUCUUAAUUGAGAGCACUCACUCAUGACUUUGAAAAGGCACCACAGUGCUUAGUGGUUGUUUAUUCUUUAUUUGGUGUGUUACAUAGUCCUUAUUAAGAUCCUCCAAGAUACUGUAGUCUUCCUCUGACCAGCUGUUCUCUGUUCUUCCACUGCAGAGGGGGUGGGGAUGGGGGCGGUGAUAUAAGCUGCUUCCUUUUUUUUUUUAAAGGCAGAGUCCUCACUAUGUAGUUCUUACUGCCCUAGAACUUGGUAGGUAGAGCAGGCUAGCCUCAAACUCAGUGAGAAUCAACCUGUCUCUUUGUGUAUGGCUACACUGGCCCUUCAACCCUUUUCAUCUCCACCUUGACUUCCUACUUGGAUCAUGCACCUCCCCCACUGAGAUUCCCAAUGGCUGGGAGUGAAGGCUCUCAUAUUGACUGUGCACACCUGUACUGUACUAAGUAUUUAUAUUUGCCAUUAUUAUACGCAAUAACCUUAAGGUCAGACUUACCACCUUCAUUUUUAUGAGGCUCAAGGUCAUACUUUGUCUGCUUCUGGUUAAUUCUUUUUUUCUUGCCAGGGAAGCCCUCUGAGUCAAACUAUAUCUGCCAAGAAAGAAGGCAGCAGAGGAGGCAAUGAGCCACUGCCCAGAUGGCAAACGGGGUUGGGAGGGGGGUUCGGAUAUUUAAGGAGACAUAUUUAUCUCUGUCUCACUUGAUGACACUGGAUUCUGUUUCUCAGCAAUGAAGUGAAGAUAUUAGCAGAGCACCUCUUUGGGGGGCGGAGGGGUUCUGUGUCAUUUUCAGCUAGCCCGCAGGGUGAUGAUCUUUGGGAUAGGCCAAAGUGUGCUAUAAAAUUUACCUCUUGCUUACUGGCCAAAAAUAGAGGAGUUGCUAAUUAGCAGUCAGUGGGUGGCCUAGAGCACCAAGUCUCUAAGAGUGACUUUGUAAUGACUAGCAUUGUCUAAAGGCUCUUUUUCUGUGUCUUUGGGAGAGUGCCCUGAGCAUCUAAUGGAUGGAUAUAUGACACAACACCCUGCAGUGCGGAGCAGCCAGAAUAUGACAAUUAUUGGCCCCACAUGUGGAUUGGCUGUGGGGGAGGUGCCUGGUCUAAAGACCACUUGCCUGGAGAACUGUUAGCUGCUUUGGUAAGAUCUCAAGCAUAGCGGAAGGAUCCAGCAAUGUAUGUCCGUCCAUACAUUUGUAAGCUGGAAUUACAGUGGAUCGUGAAAUAUCUAAUCAUGAAUGUAAUCCGUAAGAAAGAGCAUAUUUUCUCACUACGAGAGUCUUCGGGGGGUUCCAGAAGCUAUGAUGGAAGAGUACUUUAUAGAGGAAGGUGUGUGUUUGUUAGCCUGCAGAGUCUACUGCUCAGAGCAGUGUGGGGUGAUAACCACUCAGAAUGACUGAAACAUGACAAGCCGAGAGGCACAGUUGUCUCAUUCCUUUUAGUGUAUUGUUCUUGUUCUAUGGUGGGCACAGCUGCUAUACAGCUCCUAUCUCACAUCUACUGGGGCAUGGCUCUCUGAAGCACGUAUGGACUCUAUUCCAUGACUUGACAGGAGAAAGGAAAAACCUUCAAUCAGGAGAAACUACUAACAUGACAGUCUUGAUCCCACCUGCCCCGCUUUCCUUGAGCCCCAUAGUCUUAGUGUCUCAUCCUAGCCUACAGUGACUGGGAAUUACUCCAUCAGAGAGGGUCUCAGCUCUGUGAGGAAAUAGUAUCAGACAUUUUCCCAGGAUGUGCUGCCCUCUUCCUGGGCUCCUUUCCUCUCUAAAAUCAUUUUACUUUGGAGAACUUAAACGUUUUAGAAAGAGACUAUUUUUAUAAAAUCGCUGUUCUCUCCUGCUUCACAAGGAAAAUCUGCUUAGAUGAAUACCUUAUUUUUAUAAGCUGCUUAACGAGAUGACCGUAUCAAGGGUUGAGAGAAUCUAUCCUGACCCUUACCUAGCAGUUCAGCUUCACACAAGCCAAUAAGGCCCUUUUCCUUUUUCUUCCCUCUGGAUGUAGGGUGUUGAUACGUAUGAUAGCUGCUUCCAAUGCAUUACUGCUUUCCAACUAUGGUAACCAAGUCUCAAAGAUUUAGGGAGCUCACACUAACGUUGCUC
rnacentral:lncRNA from 1 species